rnacentral:rRNA from 1 species
UACGUAGGGGGCAAGCGUUGUCCGGAAUUAUUGGGCGUAAAGAGCGUGUAGGCGGUCCGGUAAGUCAGCUGUGAAAGUCAAGGGCUCAACCCUUGAAAGCCGGUUGAUACUGUCGGGCUAGAGUCCGGAAGAGGCGAGUGGAAUUCCUGGUGUAGCGGUGAAAUGCGCAGAUAUCAGGAGGAACACCGAUGGCGAAGGCAGCUCGCUGGGACGGUACUGACGCUGAGACGCGAAAGCGUGGGGAGCGAACAGG